UUAUAGCACCCUACACACCAUCCUGGGAGUAUUAAUGGGUUGUACUCUCUCUAUAUAUCAUGAACUUCUCCAGAGGACUCAUUCAUUCAACUAUGAAUUUGGAUUAAGGCAUUGUUCUGGACUUUGGAUACAGCAGAGAACAAAGACAGAGUCCCUGCCUUCAAGGAGCUCGCAUUCUCGUUGGGGACACAGGCAGUGAACACAGAGUGGUACACCAGUGGCAGGAAUCAUCUGAGACAUCAUCUGUCUUGUGAAGCCUUCUAUGACCUCAGAAUAUCCCCACCCCCAUACCGGCUGUGGUCCCACAGCUCCCUCUACUUUGUCUGUUUGGAUGCCUGUUUUCUCCGUUGGAUUCUGGGCAGCAGGAAUAUAUAAUGAUACAUUUAUAAAUACCUGGAGGACAUCUUGAUUAUUUAUCAGCACUCCUUUUUCUUGGUCACCAAGAAGUCUAAGUUAUAAAUAGCCCCAACAUGAUGCUCCAUUUAGCUGUUCAGCUCGUCCAUCUCCUGGCUGCGAUCUUUUGAUUUUCUGCACAGAUGAAUCAGCAAAUGUCUUGAGUGAU